GACAGAGGGUGCGAACGUUGUUCGGAAUUACUGGGCGUAAAGCGCGUGUAGGCGGCAGCGCAAGUCGGGCGUGAAAUCCCACGGCUCAACCGUGGAAGUGCACUCGAAACUGCGCAGCUAGAGUCCUGGAGAGGAAGGUGGAAUGCUUGGUGCAGAGGUGAAAUUCGUAGAUAUCAAGCGGAACACCGGUGGCGAAGGCGACCUUCUGGACAGUGACUGACGCUGAGACGCGAAAGCGUGGGGAGCAAACAGG
rnacentral:rRNA from 1 species